rnacentral:rRNA from 1 species
CCUACGGGAGGCAGCAGUGGGGAAUAUUGCACAAUGGGGGAAACCCUGAUGCAGCGACGCCGCGUGAGUGAGGAAGUAUUUCGGUAUGUAAAGCUCUAUCUGUAGGGAAGAAAAUGACGGUACCUGACUAAGAAGCCCCGGCUAACUACGUGCCAGCAGCCGCGGUAAUACGUAGGGGGCAAGCGUUAUCCGGAAUUACUGGGUGUUAAGGGAGCGUAGGCGGUUGAUCAAGUUAGAAGUGAAAACUCAGGGCUCAACCUUGGGACUGCUUUUGAAACUGAGUAGCUUGAGUGCAGGAGAGGUAAGCGGAAUUCCUGGUGUAGCGGUGAAAUGCGUAGAUAUUAGGAGGAACACCAGUGGCGAAGGCGGCUUACUGGGCUGUAACUGACGUUGAGGCUCGAAAGCGUGGGGAGCAAACAGGAUUAGAUACCCUAGUAGUC